UUGUUAUUAUCCUAGUUUGGUCUGUGUUUUUCAGUUUCUGUCUGUUCAGUUUGAGUUUGUCAGGCAACGUCAAUGUUAUGUGUGUCACCAGCGUUUCCUUGCAUGGAAUUACCUGUCUGUGGAUUUAUUAAAGACUGUUUAUCUUCAUAUCUUCAUUUUUUGAUCAAGAAACACUGAAGGUAAAUGCCCUCAGUGCUGUCAUUCUUGCCGUUGCUGAAAAAAUGCUGAAAGAAGACUUUGUGUGUUCUUGCUAUAAGGAUUACAGAAAUGUUGAAGUCUUUUUUCAUUUUUUGAUUCCUAUUCUUUUCUUCUUGGUCGUGCUUCAUCAAUUGUUUAGUUCAGCUGAAUAUGAGCAACAAAGCUACAUGCUGAUCAAGACCUUCUCAUGUUCAGCUUUUUUGUGGAUUGUGUUACUUCUUAUUGACGGUAGAUACGUUGCAUGUGCAGUAUUUUCACCACAUCCUCCAUGUAACAACACAAUAGAUGUGAAAGUACUUCAGUCCACUCCAGAAUUUUUCCAAUCUAAGCUUGUAGGUUUUUUGCUGUUACAUUGUAUGCUGCUACUAGCCUUCCUUACUACAGCUGUUGCACAUCUGAAAAAAUGGUGCAACCAGAGGAGCAAUGCAAAUACAGCAUUAUACAACAGGAUGAAUCCUGAAAACAUUUACGGGGCAACGGGAAUAAGCCAGAGUAUUGACAGUACCUGAACAAAACAACCAGAAAACCACGAUUGAAAAAGACUGUUAAAACCAGAUCAGUUACAGUGUAAGAAAAGUGUUACCUGUAAUAUACAGAGUGUAAAAUUGAACACCAUUGAUUUUCAUUGCGUAUGUAUUGUACUCUAAAAUGAUUUCUUAUUUCAUCAUAAACAGCAAAUCAUGACACACUGUAUGAAUACAUUGAUUUGGUAUGCUGUCUUAAAUGUAUGCAAAUUCAAUUAUCCUAUGUGACCAUAUAUAAGAAUGGAAACCAUGUUGUAAAAUGCUGGGUUGACAUUUUAAACCACAGGUUAAAGGCUCAUUUUUAUUCCACUUUUUUGCAAACUAAUGCUUUAUUUUGUAGAAUCAUUUGUAGAAUCUAACAGCUGUCUAACAGUUACCUAACUGCUUUUCUGAUUUCAAAUUCUGCAUCUGUAAAAACAAUAAAACUGCUGAUAAAUA
rnacentral:lncRNA from 1 species